GUUAAUGAUGAUUAUACCACACUUAUCACGACGGUCUACUGUUGUUUAAGGACUGUUAAUCCUUAAAUAUUGAUGAUAAAUUCGGCCUUGACCGGCCGUGGUUCCUGAUU
rnacentral:snoRNA from 1 species